rnacentral:piRNA from 1 species
UGAGAUGAAAGAGGUGAUGAGUUUGCGGC